rnacentral:lncRNA from 1 species
UUGGGUGACAUAUUGUUAUUCUACGUUUCUUUUUGUUUUUUUUAUCUUUAUUAUUUUUUUUCCACACUUUUUUGUCCAGUCUGGAACUCUAAUAUAAAUGGACCAAAGAAGAUGGAACUAUACCAUAAUGUUAACCACCAUGUGAAGAUUUGCUUUUUGGGGUUGGCACUUUCAAGAUGUCCGCCGUUACCAUGGAAACGGAACAACUGUGAAAAAAUCCACUUUUUGGUUUUGGGGAAUAAUUUGGAGAUGCUUCAACUCAGAAUCCUUAUAUUUUAACACAAUGUAGGUGCCAGCCAUAUACAGGUGUUGGAUGAUUUUGGUACUUAUUGGAACUACUAUGUUGCCAUGGAAACAACACCAAAAUUUUCAAAAAUAUCAAAAUGCUCCAAACUUUAUGAAACUUCACAGUAACGAUGAGCAACAUUGGCAGAUGUGGCUUUUGGAGUUGGAAUUUCCAAAAUGGCUUUUGUUACCAUGGAAACAAUGCAAAACAUUUAAAAAAAAUAAAAAUGCUGCAAACUGGAUGAAACUUUACAGAAAUGGUAACUGGCAUUGGCAGAGUUUCAUUUUCAAGUUGGAAUUUUCAAAAUGGCCGCCGUAACCAUGGAAACAGCAAAAAUGUCCAAAUUAUCAAAAUGCUCCAAACUUAAUGAAACUUUUCAAAAAUGAUAAUUUGCAUGUGUAGAUACACUCUUUGACUUUGGAAUUUUCUAAAUGGCUGCCGCUCGCCUGGCAAUUGGGGAAGGGUGCCAUCCGCUAUUGCUUGCAAUGGCAAAUCUAGUUAUUUUUAUUUUUCUUCCACACAUUUUGUCCGCGCGAGUUCUCAGAAUUGAACGGACCAAUGUUUAUGGAACUCAACUAUAAUGAGGAACCCCAUUUGAAGUUGUGCACCUUGCUAUGGAAUGGUAAAAGAUGGCCGCCGUUUCCAUGGAAACAGCACAAAUGCGAAAAAAAUCAAAGUGUUCCAAACUGGAAGAAACUCCACAGGAAUGUUAACUGGCAUGUGCUGAUUUCCAG